rnacentral:rRNA from 1 species
CAGUCGCCGCGGUAAUACGGAGGGUGCAAGCGUUGUCCGGAUUUAUUGGGUUUAAAGGGUGCGUAGGCGGCCUAAUAAGUCAGUGGUGAAAGCCUCCAGCUUAACUGGAGAACUGCCAUUGAUACUGUUAGGCUUGAGUAUACUUGAGGUAGGCGGAAUUGACAGUGUAGCGGUGAAAUGCAUAGAUAUUGUCAAGAACACCAAUUGCGAAGGCAGCUUACUAAAUUAUAACUGACGCUGAGGCACGAAAGUGUGGGUAUCAAACAGGAUUAGAUACCCGAGUAGUCCCUGUCUCUUAUAC